GGUCCCACACGAUCUCUUGUGACUAGACAAGGAGUCCUUCAUCAGCAGAUUUGAUGUCAAUCCUAUCAUACGGAAUCAAUAGGAAAUCGUUCAGUGAAGCUUCGGGACGACAGUUAGGAACGAGGUGACAGGCCAAAUCCGGAAGAGGAUCAGCAGGGCUCUCCUUUUUAAACGGCUUUCCGUGAUUUCUGACCGGAAUUCGCGAAUGGAAUCCAAAUUUGAAUGCAAUUGCGUUUGUGAUGGUCGCCACAGGUGAUGACGCAGACUGGAUCUUAACCGGCUUGAACACAACGGGGUGACUGGGCACGCAAGUUUUCACAUGAAGAAAUUCCCGUUUCUUUCCAGGAAGAGGCUUUGGGGAUGGAAACAGGGGUGUUUUCACCCGAUGGAUGGACGGAUGGAUAUCAAAUGGAAUAGGAAAUCUUGAUAAAAAGAUGCACUGAAAGAACUUUGUUAAAUUACUCGUAAAAUCGCUCUUGUAAUCGUUCGGUAAAUCACAGAUAUAUCUGGAUAAUACUUACUAGAACAACAAGUGAUUACGAAAUGAUGUCAUUUUGCCGCUUCGGACCAAAAUGAGCGUGGUUGAUGAUGGCGUGGCGACAACAACAAAACAGAUCGUUCCAAAUUAGAAAGUAGUCUACCUCUCUACCAUGAAAGAGUCUAAAAGCAAUAAAUUUGGCAUCGCUGUUGGUGUGUCUUACAUUUACGGACAGAAGAAAACAUAAGGUCAUUCAAGGUGGUGAUCUCGACUUGCUGCGUUUUCAUGGUCGUGACGAUUCUUUGUGCUGGCGUUUUCUUUUCAUUGUGACAGUCAUGUGUCUUAUCAGUUGCUGCAUUAAUAGUGA